GAUGAACGCUGACAGAAUGCUUAACACAUGCAAGUCUUUGGCGAAGCUGUGCUUGCACAGCCUAGCCAAGGCGGACGGGUGAGUAACGCGUAAGGAACUUGCCCUGCAGUCAGGGAUAACAGACGGAAACGACUGAUAAGACCUGGUAAAGUCAGGCGGACUCAUGUCCAGCCUGAUGAAAAGAGAUGCUGCAGGAGAGCCUUGCGUCCUAUUAGCUUGUUGGUGGGGUAACGGCCCACCAAGGCGAUGAUAGGUAGCCGGCCUGAGAGGGUGGACGGCCACAAGGGGACUGAGAUACGGGCCUUACUCCUACGGGAGGCAGCAGUGGGGAAUAUUGGACAAUGGGGGCAACCCUGAUCCAGCAAUUCUGUGUGCACGAUGAAGGUUUUCGGAUUGUAAAGUGCUUUCAGCAGGGAAGAAAAAAAUGACGGUACCUGCAGAAGAAGCGACGGCUAAAUACGU
rnacentral:rRNA from 1 species